rnacentral:rRNA from 1 species
AGUGAACGCUGGCGGCGUGCCUAAUACAUGCAAGUCGAACGGAGUGGCGCACGGGUGAGUAAUGUAUAGCUAAUCUGCCCUCCACUAGAGGACAACAGUUGGAAACGACUGCUAAUACUCUCUAGUGUAGGAUGAGGCUAUAUUGUAUCAGCUAGUUGGUGAGGUAAUGGCUCACCAAGGCUAUGACGCAUAACUGGUCUGAGAGGAUGAUCAGUCACACUUACUCUUAACCACCAUCCCAACUCCUACAGAAAUCAACAGUAGGGAAGAUUACUCAAUGGGGGAAGCCCUGAAACACCAAAGCGUCAUAGCGGAUGACACUUUUCGGAGCGUAAACUCCUUUUGUUAGGGAAGCGGUACCUAACGAAUAAGCACCGGCUAACUCCGUGCCAGCAGCCGCGGUAAUAC